CCACCGGGAGCCCUCGGAUGAAGAGCUGGUCGAGGCGGUAGUUGACUUGGAGAAGUAGGAGGAGAGGAAACGACAGCCUCAGACGUACAGGCCCCUCUCUCGCUCCUGCCGCAUCCACCUCCUCCCCCCUCAUCAGCGGCACAGAAGGG